AACGAACGCUGGCGGCAUGCCUAACACAUGCAAGUCGAACGAGAUCUUCGGGUCUAGUGGCGCACGGGUGCGUAACGCGUGGGAAUCUGCCCUUUGGUUCGGAAUAACAGUUGGAAACGACUGCUAAUACCGGAUGAUGACGAAGGUCCAAAGAUUUAUCGCCAGAGGAUGAGCCCGCGUAGGAUUAGCUAGUUGGUGUGGUAAAGGCGCACCAAGGCGACGAUCCUUAGCUGGUCUGAGAGGAUGAUCAGCCACACUGGGACUGAGACACGGCCCAGACUCCUACGGGAGGCAGCAGUGGGGAAUAUUGGACAAUGGGCGAAAGCCCGAUCCAGCAAUGCCGCGUGAGUGAUGAAGGCCUUAGGGUUGUAAAGCUCUUUUACCCGGGAUGAUAAUGACAGUACCGGGAGAAUAAGCUCCGGCUAACUCCGUGCCAGCAGCCGCGGUAA
rnacentral:rRNA from 1 species